rnacentral:lncRNA from 1 species
AAAUAGUUCAAAAAUAAUUAAUUUUACUAUAAAAUUGAUACAAAAUCUCUUUCUCUCUAUCUCUGAAUGAUCAAUACCCCUAUACUCUCUCUCUCUCUCUCUCUCUCUCUCUCCACAAUUGCUCUCCUCAAUGUACAAAAUGUCCAUUUCAACAAUAUCAGCAAUAUUCCAAAGAAUCGGCAACUCAUUUAAACACAAAAAAUCACUUGAUUUCCGAAUCAAACACAACCUCUUCAACGAGGUGAACCAAAAAACAUUUCUAGCUCUGAUGAUUACAAUAUUUCACGUACAGCAAAUUCUUCGAACAGCACUUCUGCAACGGCUGACAGAUGAUAGGCCAAACAAGCUCUUAGUUAGUUAGUUAAUUUGUCGCGACGCAAUCUUGACCAGUAUCGAUACACGAGAAAGUGGUUAUCGUGCUGCAAUUAAUUUACAAUCUUUUUUUUGUUCCCAAAAAAGCAUUUGAUUGAAUAUUCUCAC